UACGUAGGGUGCAGGCGUUAAUCGGAAUUACUGGGCGUAAAGCGUGCGCAGGCGGUUUCUUAAGUCAGAUGUGAAAGCCCCGGGCUUAACCUGGGAACUGCAUUUGAAACUACGGGGCUAGAGUGUGUCAGAGGGGGGUGGGAAGUUCCACGUGUAGCAGUGAAAUGCGUAGAGAUGUGGAGGAACACCAAUGGCGAAGGCAGCCCCCCUGGGAUGACACUGACGCUCAUGCACGAAAGCGUGGGGAGCAAACAGG
rnacentral:rRNA from 1 species